GUCGCCUUUGUUGUUGUUAUAUCGUGAAACGCGAAAAGGGCGAAACAAAAUUGUAGCUAAUAUGUACUUAUAUUCCUGUGAUUUAAAUUACCAAAUUGAAUUUCGUAAUAUAUAUGCAUAGGCCUACUGUCAGUCAUUACAUGAUUACAACAAGUUGACUUAGCGCUCAGUCAAUUUCCAUCCAUUAGGCCCGUCAUGCUGUCAAAGGCCUAAAACUCAUGUUUGAAGAUGAAGACCACAUGUAGUGGAAUACAAAUCUGCCGAGAUAAGAAUCUUUUCUGAAUCUUUCAAUUUUGGUGGCGUACCCUGCCAGGCUGCCACAGCAUGUUUGUUGUUAUGUAUGUUUUUACUUCUGUUUUAGAAGACAACCCAGCUAAGAGAUAGUUUCAGAGAAAUGAAGUGUGUGAAGUGAAUAACCUGCCAUGUGUAUGAACAUGUACCAGAUCUGCUUGAUGAAAGUCAAAUGCCUACUAAAUUCAUCACCCAUAUGAUAAGCACCAGGAAAUUUAUCUCAACAUGUGGAGUAAUGCUGUUGAUUGAUGUGAAUUCAAUUUUUACGGUUUUUUCAUCAUGAGCAUUUCAGUGUGCUUAUUAGAUCAGAACACACAGUUUCUUAAUUGUAUCUUGUGGUCCUGACACGGAGAUUCUUCUGCCUAUGCUGACCUUUGUCCAUGAUGGAAGAGAGACUUCCAACAACAUUCUUCUCCAUCCUUAUCUUCGCGACGCACGCUCAUCUAGCUUCACUGCUUUUAAACACAAUUUGUUUUACUUCACUGGCGACUUGGCGAGUUUCUGGACCACUUCGCUACCCUUUGCUGUUCCACACCUGCAGUCACCCACCACGGGAUUAUGCUUAGGUAAUGCAGAGGAAAUUUCGAGAAGAUGGACACCAUAACGUCGCCGGUAUCUCCAAA
rnacentral:lncRNA from 1 species